GACAGAGGUGCAAACGUUGUUCGGAAUUACUGGGCGUAAAGCGCGUGUAGGCUGCUCCGCAAGUCGGAUGUGAAAGCCCUGGGCUCAACCUAGGAAGUGCAUUCGAUACUGCAGAGCUUGAGUCCUGGAGAGGAAGGCGGAAUUCUCGGUGUAGAGGUGAAAUUCGUAGAUAUCGAGAGGAACACCGGUGGCGAAGGCGGCCUUCUGGACAGUGACUGACGCUGAGA
rnacentral:rRNA from 1 species